CAUCGAAGAUCAGCCUAAAUCGCACGACUCUGUCCGGUUUCUGUGUAAAUCGAUCAUAGGCUUUCCGAUUUAAGCCUAAAUCGCUCAAGGCUUGAUCGGAUUUACCUAAAUCGCUUGGAGCUUGGCUUAGUUUCUGUGCUGUGUAAACCUAACUAGUCGGUUUAGUGUUUAUCGCUUACCACUGUUUCUAAAUCGCUUGUUAUAUCGCACAUCACAGGUUCUAUAUUGCUCAUCGUUUUCUCAUCUCAAAGCCUAAAUGAUAAAUCGGGCAUCACAGGCAAUCCCUUGCAUCUUCUGGAGUAGAGGGAAACAGCAACGUGCCAAGCUAGAUAGCAACAAAGCAUUCCUCUACUGGUUCUGUUAAUGAUGUUGUAUCAACUAAUAAGUCCAACAGCGCAAUUGAGUCUAUCAUGAAUAAGCCCAGAAUGACAUUUAAUGAAGAUGUUGAGACAUACAGAGAGGAGAGGGAUCUGUAAAGAAUUACUGCUACAAUUGGUAUGCACUGGGUGGGAAUGCUAAUACAGCCAUCAUUUGCUGGCACAGAUUCAUGCUGAUGAGACUAAAAGCAGUCUUCAGUUUGCAAGCCGAGCUUUGCAUUUGACCAUUAUAAUCUCUGUUUGAAUAUGCUGUGUGUUUCUUGAUUGUCAUCAGUUUGGAGGUCCUAGAUGUUAUUGAUGUGUCAACUGUUGUGAAGGCUAAUGCAAAGCAAGGAAGCACUGAUUAGCAUAUUGGAUUAUCUAGAUAGGGCUGUUGAUGAUAGCAUAACCUGGAGCAGCAGCCACAGAGAUUGAAUUAGCCUGAAGAUUGUCUUUUGCUUGUAGAUACUAUAGUGCUGGAUGUCUUCCUGUUACAUAUGUAGAAAAAGAAUUUUGACAUGAAAUAGCUUGUGGAAAGACAGAAAGUGUUGAAUAUGCAUGUGAUGUUGAUGGUAGUGCGUUUUCGUCUUCUCCCACUGAUCAACUUGCAAGUAGCAAAUGGAAUUUGAAGAACAGUUGUGUUAUAUGUAGCAACUAUAUGCCAAGGAAGUGUUAUUGUGUUUUGGUGGCUUUUGACUUGAUGUGUAAAUAAUAAAUUUGAUUCAAUUCCAUAUAUGCACACAUAAGACUUGUUUUGUUC